GCUUGCUUUGGCAGUGCAUAGAUGAAAACUGGAAUGAUACAGAGAAGAUUAGCAUGGCCCCUGUGGAAGGAUGACAUGCAAAUUUGUGAAGUAUUCCACAUUUUU